CAAAACAUCUGUCUUAUGUAUCUCUGGUGCUCACGGUCCUAGGGCAGGCCCCGACACACAUUGGGUCCGGUCAGAUGAAGAAACGGAGGGGGCCGUGACACCACAUCAGACACUUAUGGGACCAGGAAGACCAGAGGAGACGCCCCACUCCCCUCAUCUAUUCUUGGCCUACAUGGUUUCUCUCAUCUGGCCCCAGAAUGGCCGGAGAGCCACUCCCAGUGGAAACCACAGUUUGGGCUGGAAGAAUUUCUUCUGCAGUUUCCCUGGGGCCAGGCCCACUGGCCUUGGAAACUGCCUUAGUGUUAUUUAAACUGCAGAACAGAGUCUAUGGGCAGCUCUGACCGGACCCGGGUGGGGGCGGCCUGGAUCAGGAUUACGUUGGAGCCUCCCUCCCCCGACCGCCAGGACCUCAGGGGUUGAGAUGCGUGGUUCUGUCUUCGCAGCCUCUUGCUGUCGUGGAAAAGAACAAGGGGGUUAAGGAAGUUUCACGCACAGCGCAGAGCCCAACGCAGGCCUGAUGCAGAGCCAAACUCACCACCCUAAGAUCAAGACCUGAGCCAGACGCUUAACCAACUCAGCCACCCAGGCGGCCUUUACAUUUCUGUUUUGUGCACUUUUCUGUAUGUGUGCUACUCUUAACAAUAAAAAGUGUUUCAAAAAUAAUGGGGCUUGCUCUAAGGUAGCAGGAAUGAGGUUGGAGAGAAGAGGCUGAUUUUGACUGUUGUGCAGAAAGUGAGAACAGGAAGGUGAGGAAUCCUUUGGGAGGAAUGAGUCUGGGGAGGGAGGUGAAAGCAAAGAGCAGUGUUUAACACUGAGUUUGAGACCUGGAAGAUACUGAAGUGGAAAUGCCCAGGACCACUGUGUGAGCUCAGGAAAGUCACUUUCUCAAGUUCAGAGUCCCUUCUCCACAAGAGAGGGAAGCAGUGUGGCUUCAUGGAAUCAGCUUUGGGUUUUAACGCUGGGAACCUUCGUCUUUAAAACCGCAGUUCUGGAGGCACCUGAGUGGCUCAGUUGGUUGAGCGUCGGACUCUUGAUUUCAGCUCAGGUCAUGAUCUCACAGUAUGUGGGAUCGAGCCCCGCAUUGGGCCCUGAGCCGAUAGUGCAGAGCCUGCUUGAGAAUCUCUCUCCCUCUCAAUAAGUAAACAUUAAAAAAAACAAAAAGAAAAAA